UAGGGAAUCUUCGGCAAUGGACGAAAGUCUGACCGAGCAACGCCGCGUGAGUGAAGAAGGUCUUCGGAUCGUAAAACUCUGUUGGUAGAGAAGAACGUUGGUGAGAGUGGAAAGCUCAUCAAGUGACGGUAACUACCCAGAAAGGGACGGCUAACUACGUGCCAG
rnacentral:rRNA from 1 species